UGGGGAAUUUUGGACAAUGGGCGAAAGCCUGAUCCAGCAAUGCCGCGUGUGUGAAGAAGGCCUUCGGGUUGUAAAGCACUUUUGUCCGGAAAGAAAUCCUUGGCUCUAAUACAGUCGGGGGAUGACGGUACCGGAAGAAUAAGCACCGGCUAACUACGUGCCAGCAGCCGCGGUAAUACGUAGGGUGCAAGCGUUAAUCGGAAUUACUGGGCGUAAAGCGUGCGCAGGCGGUUUGCUAAGACCGAUGUGAAAUCCCCGGGCUCAACCUGGGAACUGCAUUGGUGACUGGCAGGCUAGAGUAUGGCAGAGGGGGGUAGAAUUCCACGUGUAGCAGUGAAAUGCGUAGAGAUGUGGAGGAAUACCGAUGGCGAAGGCAGCCCCCUGGGCCAAUACUGACGCUCAUGCACGAAAGCGUGGGGAGCAAACAGGAUUAGAUACCCUGGUAGUCCACGCCCUAACAGAUGU
rnacentral:rRNA from 1 species